AGCUUUGCGCAGUGACAGUAUUGUAGCCAAUGAGGUUUAUCUGAGGCGUGAUUAUUCCUAAUUGAAACAGAGGGUGUAAUAUCUUUGUUUUAAUAUAAUUUUUUUCAGUUUUAGAAAAAA
rnacentral:snRNA from 1 species